GGACUACAGGGGUUUCUAAUCCCGUUUGCUCCCCUGGCCUUCGUGCCUCAGCGUCAGCAACUGUCCAGAGACUCGCCUUCGCCACUGGUCUUCCUUACGAUCUCUACGCAUUUCACUGCUACACCGUAAAUUCCAGUCUCCUCUCCAGUGCUCGAGCAAAGCAGUAUCCAAUGCAGUUCCGGGGUUGAGCCCCGGGAUUUCACAUCGGACUUGCUCUGCCGCCUACGCACCCUUUACGCCCAAUGAAUCCGAACAACGCUCGAGACCUCUGUAUUACCGCGGCUGCUGGCAC
rnacentral:rRNA from 1 species